rnacentral:misc_RNA from 1 species
AAGUCGUAACAAGGUUUCCGUAGGUGAACCUGCGGAAGGAUCAUUAGCGAAGCUCGGAAUGCCAGUCCGGUACUGCAGCUGCCCAGCGAUGGGAUGUGCUCGUCUGGGCUGGUGUCCCUUCUCUAUUCCACCCCACUGUGAACCAAGCGUGCGAGCAGAAGAGAGAUCGGAAGCUCGCAUGCUCACUUUAACAUACCCCCGAUUAAGUAUCUGAAUGUACCUUGCGUUAACUCGCACAAAUACAACUUUCAACAACGGAUCUCUUGGCUCUC